rnacentral:rRNA from 1 species
AAUCAACGCUGGCGGCGUGCCUCAGACAUGCAAGUCGAACGAGAACCUCCCUUCGGGGAGGGACAGUGGCGCACGGGUGAGUAACACGUGGGUAAUUUACCUUUGGGUGGGGAACAACAGCCGGAAACGGCUGCUAAUACCGCAUAAUGCAGCGGCUCGACAUCGAGACAGUUGUUAAAGCGGGGGAUCGCAAGACCUCGCGCCUGAAGAGAAGCCUGCGGCGGAUUAGCAGUUGGUAGGGUAAUGGCCUACCAAGGCGACGAUCUGUAACCGGCCUGAGAGGGCGGUCGGUCACACUGACACUGACAUACGGGUCAGACUCCUACGGGGAGGCAGCAGUCGGGAAUUUUGGGCAAUGGGCGAAAGCCUGACCAGCAACGCCGCGUGAAGGAUGAAG